rnacentral:tRNA from 7 species
ACAUCCAUAGCCUAGUGGUUAAGGGCUUCCGAGUAGCACCUCCAAGUCCUGGGUUCAAUCCCCCUUGGGGGCA